rnacentral:rRNA from 1 species
UGGGACGACGUCAAGUCAUCAUGGCCCUUACGGCCUGGGCUACACACGUGCUACAAUGGUCGGUACAAAGGGUUGCCAAGCCGCGAGGUGGAGCUAAUCCCAUAAAACCGAUCGUAGUCCGGAUCGCAGUCUGCAACUCGACUGCGUGAAGUCGGAAUCGCUAGUAAUCGUGAAAUCCAGAAUGUCACGGUAGAAUACGUUCCCGGGCCGUU